rnacentral:rRNA from 1 species
GGACUACUAGGGUUUCUAAUCCUGUUUGCUCCCCACGCUUUCGUGCCUCAGCGUCAGUUAUGGGCCAGUGAGCCGCCUUCGCCACUGGUGUUCUUGCGAAUAUCUACGAAUUUCACCUCUACACUCGCAGUUCCACUCACCUCUCCCAUACUCAAGACUUCCAGUAUCAAGGGCAGUUCUGGAGUUGAGCUCCAGGAUUUCACCCCUGACUUAGAAACCCGCCUACGCACCCUUUACGCCCAGUGAUUCCGAGCAACGCUAGCCCCCUUCGUAUUACCGCGGCUGCUGGCAC